CUGAUGAUCACCUCUCUGAAAUGAGAACAGAAGACAGCUAGCUCUCUCAGAUCCUUGGUCCUGCCUGUGGAGGCAGAGGGUGAUGCUGCACAGAAGAGAUGUUUGUUCUGGUUACAGGUCCUCACCAGACACUCAGCCCCUCCUUCCUGCAGCUGGCUGACGUUGUGCAGAGAAGAAACCGUGACAAAAAGAGGCCAGAAGAGAAAGACUCCUUCUUACAGUCUUUGAAACUUGUCAAAGCCACGGACUUGUCCAGCCCCACCUCCCCACUCUUCCUGUAGCUCUGAAGGCUCAGUGAUCUCGGCUACUGUCCCACCUGCGCAGGAAGCCCACAGUGUCUCCACUGCUCAGCCAUGCUCCUGCUGCUCAUCUCAGUGCUUGACGUGAUUUUUGCCCCAAGAGGAACAGGAGCUCAGUCGGUGACCCAGCCCGAUGCCCAUGUCACUGUCUCUGAAGAAGCUGCUCUGGAGCUGAGGUGCAACUAUUCCUAUAGUGGAACUCCUUAUCUCUACUGGUACGUGCAGUACCCCAACCAAGGCCUCCAGCUUCUCCUCCGGUACUUUUCAGGGAACACCCUGGUUAAAGACAUCAAAGGUUUUGAGGCUGAAUUUAGGAAGACUGAAUCCUCCUUCCACCUGAGGAAACACUCAGCGCAUGGGAGCGAUACUGCCGAGUACUUCUGUGCUGUGAGUGACACAGUGUCUGGGACUGCAGGGGGAGCUGAACACAAACCUCCUGAGACACUGGGACUUUUUGUGACUCAGGACCUCAAGAGAGAGUUUCCCCAGAUCUUUUCCUCAGUGAAGAAAUAUAGGGCAGGACAGGCUGGGCUCUGGAAAACGCUUUACUCUUGA